rnacentral:rRNA from 1 species
AUUGAACGCUGGCGGCAGGCCUAACACAUGCAAGUCGAGCGGAUGAAGGGAGCUUGCUCCUGGAUUCAGCGGCGGACGGGUGAGUAAUGCCUAGGAAUCUGCCUGGUAGUGGGGGAUAACGUCCGGAAACGGGCGCUAAUACCGCAUACGUCCUGAGGGAGAAAGUGGGGGAUCUUCGGACCUCACGCUAUCAGAUGAGCCUAGGUCGGAUUAGCUAGUUGGUGGGGUAAAGGCCUACCAAGGCGACGAUCCGUAACUGGUCUGAGAGGAUGAUCAGUCACACUGGAACUGAGACACGGUCCAGACUCCUACGGGAGGCAGCAGUGGGGAAUAUUGGACAAUGGGCGAAAGCCUGAGCCAGCCAUGCCGCGUGUGUGAAGAAGGUCUUCGGAUUGUAAAGCACUUUAAGUUGGGAGGAGGGGCAGUAAGUUAAUACCUUGCUGUUUUGACGUUACCAACAGAAUAAGCACCGGCUAACUUCGUG